AGUCCACAUCCCACCUCCUCCCAUCCAGUCGGAUCAAGUCACUUAGCCACCCGGGUAUGCUCUCUUGGGCCUCCACGGCCAUCUCCACAACAGGAGAUCAGGCACCCAAGCAUCAUCUAUAGCUUCAAUCGAUUGUCCAUAAUGGCUCUCGAUUUCAAGUACAAAAAAGAGCUAUGGCUUUGUCACCAUCUCUUAUAUGGCUGCCAUCACUAAUGUUUGAACGUGAGGGAGGUUGGUGCCAACUAUUUGAGCUAUAUAUCAGCU
rnacentral:lncRNA from 1 species